rnacentral:rRNA from 1 species
GAUGAACGCUGGCGGCGUGCCUAAUACAUGCAAGUCGAGCGAACAGACGAGGAGCUUGCUCCUCUGACGUUAGCGGCGGACGGGUGAGUAACACGUGGAUAACCUACCUAUAAGACUGGGAUAACUUCGGGAAACCGGAGCUAAUACCGGAUAAUAUAUUGAACCGCAUGGUUCAAUAGUGAAAGACGGUUUUGCUGUCACUUAUAGAUGGAUCCGCGCCGCAUUAGCUAGUUGGUAAGGUAACGGCUUACCAAGGCAACGAUGCGUAGCCGACCUGAGAGGGUGACCAGCCACACUGGAACUGGGACACGGUCCAGACCCCUACGGGAGGCAGCAGUAGGGAAUCUUCAGCAAUGGGCGAAAGCCUGACGGGGCAACGCCGCGUGAGUGAUGAAGGUCUUCGGAUCGUAAAACUCUGUUAUUAGGAAAGAACAAAUGUGUAAGUAACUAUGCACGUCUUGACGGUACCUAAUCAGAAAGCCCCGGCUAACUACGU